rnacentral:rRNA from 1 species
UACGUAGGGCGCAAGCGUUGUCCGGAAUUAUUGGGCGUAAAGAGCUCGUAGGCGGUUUGUCGCGUCUGCUGUGAAAACCUGAGGCUCAACCUCGGGCUUGCAGUGGGUACGGGCAGACUAGAGUGCGGUAGGGGUGACUGGAAUUCCUGGUGUAGCGGUGAAAUGCGCAGAUAUCAGGAGGAACACCGGUGGCGAAGGCGGGUCUCUGGGCCGAUACUGACGCUGAGGAGCGAAAGCGUGGGGAGCGAACAGG